rnacentral:lncRNA from 1 species
GACUACAAACAUGAUAAAGUCCAUUACAAGGAUGGAAAGUCCACAGAACAGAAAAUGUGUCUAUUUUUUCACCAGUGACCCUCCAGCACUCAGCUAUGCCUGGAACAAGGUGCACGCGAAGGCCUCAACCAUCUGGAGAACACCUGCUGCAACAGAGUCACACAGGCUAGAGUGCAGUGGCAUGAUCUCAGCUCCCCACAACCUCUGCCUCCGAUGUUCAAGCGAUUCUCCUGUCUCAGCCUCCUGAGUAGCUGGAAUUACAGGCCCAUAAAAGCCCCAGGCUCAGCCAGAGCUGAGAAGAUGUCUGACGACCAGCUGCAGAGGGAAGCAACCCACUUCAGGGCCUCCUCUCUGCUGACAGCUGCAGAGACAACUGGAUGACCUGCCUGCAGAGAAGAGUUUCCCUCUCCAGGAUCUCCUCUCUGCUAGGAGCUGAACACCUGUUGGGACACCCUGGCUGUGGAAAGGAGCUGCCCCCUGGGG